GAUGAACGCUGGCGGCGUGCCUAAUACAUGCAAGUCGAGCGAACGGACGAGAAGCUUGCUUCUCUGAUGUUAGCGGCGGACGGGUGAGUAACACGUGGAUAACCUACCUAUAAGACUGGGAUAACUUCGGGAAACCGGAGCUAAUACCGGAUAAUAUUUUGAACCGCAUGGUUCAAAAGUGAAAGACGGUCUUGCUGUCACUUAUAGAUGGAUCCGCGCUGCAUUAGCUAGUUGGUAAGGUAACGGCUUACCAAGGCAACGAUGCAUAGCAGACCUGAGAGGGUGAUCGGCCACACUGGAACUGAGACACGGUCCAGACUCCUACGGGAGGCAGCAGUAGGGAAUCUUCCGCAAUGGGCGAAAGCCUGACGGAGCAACGCCGCGUGAGUGAUGAAGGUCUUCGGAUCGUAAAACUCUGUUAUUAGGGAAGAACAUAUGUGUAAGUAACUGUGCACAUCUUGACGGUACCUAAUCAGAAAGCCACGGCUAACUACGUA
rnacentral:rRNA from 1 species